AUUGAACGCUGGCGGCAGGCCUAACACAUGCAAGUCGAGCGGAUGAAGGGAGCUUGCUCCUGGAUUCAGCGGCGGACGGGUGAGUAAUGCCUAGGAAUCUGCCUGGUAGUGGGGGAUAACGUCCGGAAACGGGCGCUAAUACCGCAUACGUCCUGAGGGAGAAAGUGGGGGAUCUUCGGACCUCACGCUAUCAGAUGAGCCUAGGUCGGAUUAGCUAGUUGGUGGGGUAAAGGCCUACCAAGGCCACGAUCCGUAACUGGUCUGAGAGGAUGAUCAGUCACACUGGAACUGAGACACGGUCCAGACUCCUACGGGAGGCAGCAGUGGGGAAUAUUGGACAAUGGGCGAAAACCUGAUCCAGCCAUGCCGCGUGUGUGAAGAAGGUCUUCGGAUUGUAAAGCACUUUAAGUUGGGAGGAAGGGCAGUAAGUUAAUACCUUGCUGUUUUGACGUUACCAACAGAAUAAGCACCGGCUAACUUCGUG
rnacentral:rRNA from 1 species